rnacentral:rRNA from 1 species
UUCAAUCAUAAAAGGUGGCUUUUAGCUACCACUUACAGAUGGACCCGCGGCGCAUUAGCUAGUUGGUGAGGUAACGGCUCACCAAGGCGACGAUGCGUAGCCGACCUGAGAGGGUGAUCGGCCACACUGGGACUGAGACACGGCCCAGACUCCUACGGGAGGCAGCAGUAGGGAAUCUUCCGCAAUGGACGAAAGUCUGACGGAGCAACGCCGCGUGAGUGAUGAAGGUUUUCGGAUCGUAAAACUACUGUUGUUAGGGAAGAACAAGUACCGUUCGAAUAGGGCGGCACCUUGACGGUACCUAACCAGAAAGCCACGGUCUAAC